rfam:Spinacia oleracea cultivar SynViroflay scaffold5663.con0001.1, whole genome shotgun sequence.
AGCCUAUUAGCUCAAUUGGUAGAGCUAUGUGCAAUUGCACAUGAUGUAGGUUCAAAUCCUACAUAGGCUA